UCGUUCUUUCCUGUACUACUAGUCUUUUUUUCGUGUUUCUGCGCCCCCCAGACUCCACACGCUUUCCCCCAAAUCGCCGCCGCCAUGGAGAAGGAGAAGAAGCUGUCCUUCUCCAUCCCUUCCAAGCUAAGGCCGCCCAAGCCGCCCCGCCCCGCCGCCGGCGCUGAUUCCUCCGCCGCUAGCGGCAACUCCGCUUCCGCGGCCGCUGCCCCCGCCCAGCAAUUCGUCACCGAGUUCGAUCCGUCGCAAACCCUAGCCGCCGGCGCCGCGUCCGCCGUCAUCGCGCCCCUCCCCAACUCCGGCCACUUCCUCAACCACCGCUCCCGCAAACCCUCCUCCCUCCCGACCCCCGAGGAGGAGGCCGCCCUCGCCGCCUCCACCGUGCUCGACACCUCCGAGGCCCCCGACAACCCCUCCUCCCACAUAGGGUAUGGCCUCACCCGACGCGGCGCCGACGCCAACGCUGAGGCCGACGCCACGGAGUCGGGGAAGACGCAGUCUUCCAAGGAACCAGAGAAGAAGCCGACCUCUCCAGCCAGAGAUGGCGGCUCCAGCGGAGACCUUAUGCUGCGACGGUACAAGGAAGACAUGGCCAGCCUCCCCGACCACCGUGGUAUAGACGAGUUUCAGGAGGUGCCUGUGGAGGGCUUCGGUGCUGCCCUCCUUGCUGGUUACGGCUGGUCGGAAGGCAAAGGGCUCGGCCGCAAUAACAAGGAAGAUACCAAGGUUGUUGAGUAUAACCGCCGUGCCGGUACGCUGGGAUUAGGUUACGAUCCUUCUGAGGCAGACCCUAAGAAGACUCGCUCUGGUGACUGGGUUAUUGGUGGAAAGAAGCCGACAGAGAAUGGUGGAAAGAAGUCCGCAGAGAAUGGAAAUGCAAAGAAGAGAGAUAGGGAUAAGGAAGACAGAGUCCGCGAGAGGGAUUCAAGUGCCCGACAGAAGAGAUCUGGUGAUCUUAGGGCCGAGAGGGUGGUUCGGGAGAAAGAGAGAAAUUCUCGGGAUAGGCGAGAAGAAAAGAGUAGCCGUGAUGUUGGUAACAAAGUGCGCUGGUUACAGAUUAGGGUUAGAGUGGUUAAUGAGAGGUUUAGCAGAAGGUUGUACCUGCAGAAGGCAAAAAUUGUCGAUGUGGUUGGACCAACGACAUGUGACAUAAUGAUGGAUGAUGGGUCAGAGCUUGUGCAGGGGGUGGAGCAGGAUAUGCUUGAAACAGUCCUGCCACGGACAAACGGGCAGGUGCUUGUGCUCUGUGGGAAGCACAAGGGGGUGUAUGGGCAUCUGGUAGAGAAGAAUUCAGAGGCAGAGACUGCAGUUGUGGAGGAUGCGGAUACAAAAGACAUGGUGCGUGUGAAAUAUGAUCAGAUUGCAGAGUACGUUGGGGACCCAGAAUUGCUUGGGCAUUGAUUAUUUCUUCUUGAGGAGGGGACAUCUGUUUUCCAGGAGCUCUUCUAAUGUGCGACCUAGGUAAAUACUCUGAGGAAAGAGGCUGGUAUUGAUGCCUUCAAAAGGGAUAGUGAUAGAUCUAAGAGAGUGGUGAGGAGAGCCAUGCGGAACACUUAAAGGCAUUUCUGGCUUCCUUCAAAAUACAACUAGGCUCUGCUUUAUAGAGGACUUCUAAAGGAUGGCUUGAAAAGGGAUGGAUGCAAGGAUGGUGAAGAUUUGUGCCUACUGCUGAAGAUCACAAUGGAAAUACAGAGCACCUGACAAACAAGUUUUUCCAGACGACAGGCUUGGCGACCGAUAUUUACAGGUGCUCUGCUUUUGUGUAUGACAGUGACAUAUGAUGACCUGUUUCCAGUUUGCGCAUAGCACUGUUUCAGUCAGUCUCAAUUCCUCCACAAUUUACAUACCAACCUAUUCUGUGUGAAGAGUCUUGAUCAUCUUCGGAGUGGUAGCUUCCUUCUUUGUGGUAUCAUCACUUUGUGCAUGCGAUAAUCUGAUGGCGGCUGUGGUUAGAGGUGUUGCGCAGUAUGCAAAUAUCACUUUGGUCUACCAGUCAAGAGAUGAGAUGACGUGGUUCACUGAUACUCAGGUUGAGAAAUAUUUUUCUUCCCAGCAUGGUAGUUGGGAAAACAAACUGGACUCUGUAAAUCAGGGGCAUGAUACACAUUUGCUUUGGUCCUAAGCUUCAGUGUGUAAAUUAGCAGUGUUGCAAAAUUGUAAACUCUUGUACCGAUGUAUAACCGGAUGGUUAGCUGAAUGGAUAUCAAUUUGAGUCA